GUCCACGCAGUAAACGAUGAUAACUCGUUGUCGGCGAUACAAUGUCGGUGACUAAGCGAAAGCGAUAAGUUAUCCACCUGGGGAGUACGUUCGCAAGAAUGAAACUCAAAGGAAUUGACGGGGGCCCGCACAAGCGGAGGAACAUGUGGUUUAAUUCGAUGAUACGCGAGGAACCUUACCCGGGCUUGAAAGUUAGUGACGGACUUGGAAACAAGUCUUCCCUUCGGGGCACGAAACUAGGUGCUGCAUGGUUGUCGU
rnacentral:rRNA from 1 species